AGAGUUUGAUCAUGGCUCAGGACGAACGCUGGCGGCGUGCCUAAUACAUGCAAGUCGAGCGAAUCAUUGGGAGCUUGCUCCCUUUGGUUAGCGGCGGACGGGUGAGUAACACGUGGGUAACCUGCCUGUAAGAUUGGGAUAACUCCGGGAAACCGGAGCUAAUACCGGAUAAUAUUUUGAACCGCAUGGUUCAAAAUUGAAAGGUGGCUUUUGCUACCACUUACAGAUGGACCCGCGGCGCAUUAGCUAGUUGGUGAGGUAACGGCUCACCAAGGCAACGAUGCGUAGCCGACCUGAGAGGGUGAUCGGCCACACUGGGACUGAGACACGGCCCAGACUCCUACGGGAGGCAGCAGUAGGGAAUCUUCCGCAAUGGACGAAAGUCUGACGGAGCAACGCCGCGUGAACGAUGAAGGCCUUCGGGUCGUAAAGUUCUGUUGUUAGGGAAGAACAAGUACCAGAGUAACUGCUGGUACCUUGACGGUACCUAACCAGAAAGCCACGGCUAACUACGUGCCAGCAGCCGCGGUAAUACGUAGGUGGCAAGCGUUGUCCGGAAUUAUUGGGCGUAAAGCGCGCGCAGGUGGUUUCUUAAGUCUGAUGUGAAAGCCCACGGCUCAACCGUGGAGGGUCAUUGGAAACUGGGGAACUUGAGUGCA
rnacentral:rRNA from 1 species